GGCAAGUCCCACUUCUGUUUGAAGAGUGAAAGUACUUAUCAAAAACAAGAUCUUUCUAUUCUCACUGCUUCACUUGACCAGCCUUUA
rnacentral:sRNA from 1 species